CUGACGAGCGGCGGACGGGUGAGUAAUGCUUGGGAACAUGCCUUAAGGUGGGGGACAACCGUUGGAAACGACGGCUAAUACCGCAUAAACUCUACGGAGAAAAGUGGGGGCUCUUCGGACCUCACGCCUAAAGAUUGGCCCAAGUGGGAUUAGCUAGUUGGUGAGGUAACGGCUCACCAAGGCGACGAUCCCUAGCUGGUUUGAGAGGAUGAUCAGCCACACUGGAACUGAGACACGGUCCAG
rnacentral:rRNA from 1 species